CACGCGUGUGCCAGGGAGGAUGCUGCCACCACGCUCUUCGAAGAUGUGCGGAGUCGUCGUGUCUGUACGGUUGACACCUCUACCACCGUCGCUGCCUUCGAGGAGGAUUCGUGCCUGCAUCUUAAUGUUCGCCAAGCCCAUUACAUCGCUGGUUCAGGACACACAACAAAACAAAUCUGAACCUCAGCGACAUAUUUGCUGGGAGAGAAGGAGGAUAAAAAGUGUUGGUCCUCUUCACAGGAUAGACCUUUUAUGUAUCAUGUAUCCAAGCAGGCUGCAUGUGAGGUGAAUCAAGGUAACUAUAUGAUGUAGUGAAGUAUAAACUCCUCUCCCUAUAAUAUGCAGCCUUCAAACCAUAGGUUUGUGAAUUUUAUGCCAGCUGGGCCUCUUUCAUUUUAAUGCUUGAGUCCUAUUAUUUCAUUUCUCCAAGCUUUUGAGUUCUAAUAUUGUUCUGUAUUAUGAGCUCUUGAACAUUUGCCUGCACAACAAUGAUCUAUAAUAAUUCCCUUCUAAGCCUAGAGAUAGUUGUACACAUCAUUUAUUCAAUCCUAAAUUACUCUAUGCUCUGAAUUACUCCCGUGGUGCAUUUUAUGUCCCCCUUACAUCUAUAUCUAUGUCUUCUUACUCAUAUACAUGCUUUCCCAUGUAAUCAUCCUUAACAAUUGUCAUGUUCAAUCUGUAACUACUUAUCAGGGUAUUUUCUGAUUUUUUUAUGUUGCCGCUUACUGAUCUUACGACAUGGAGAGGAGAGGCCAAGUAGCAGCAAGCAUGCAGCUGUGUCAUGCAAACAAACUGAUACUGCAGAAAGUCACUGAUUGUACAAAACCAGAAAAACAAAUUGCAGCGCAAGCAUGCAAAGAGACAAUUGCGCGAAUCAAACACAUAUUCAAAUAAUAAGGCAGUGAGAGGCUUUAUAUUAGGCGGUGUACUGCAACAAGGUGCCUCCCUCCAUCAUCAUUCCAUUCUUCUCCUGUUUCCUAUCUGUCAGCUGCACCUACAACCGGUGCCCCAAUCUAGCUCGACAAUUGACGGCGGCUACAUCUGUUGUGGCCGGC